rnacentral:rRNA from 1 species
AGUCGAGGGGUAGAGUAGCAAUACUUGAGACCGGCGCACGGGUGCGUAACGCGUAUGCAAUCUACCUUUUACAGAGGGAUAGCCCAGAGAAAUUUGGAUUAAUACCUCAUAGUAUUAUGAAAUGGCAUCAUUUUAUAAUUAAAGUCACAACGGUAAAAGAUGAGCAUGCGUCCCAUUAGCUAGUUGGUAAGGUAACGGCUUACCAAGGCUACGAUGGGUAGGGGUCCUGAGAGGGAGAUCCCCCACACUGGUACUGAGACACGGACCAGACUCCUACGGGAGGCAGCAGUGAGGAAUAUUGGACAAUGGGCGCAAGCCUGAUCCAGCCAUGCCGCGUGCAGGAUGACGGUCCUAUGGAUUGUAAACUGCUUUUAUACGAGAAGAAACACUACUUCGUGAAGUAGCUUGACGGUAUCGUAAGAAUAAGGAUCGGCUAACUCCGUGCCAGCAGCCGCGGUAAUACGGAGGAUCCAAGCGUUAUCCGGAAUCAUUGGGUUUAAAGGGUCCGUAGGCGGUUUAAUAAGUCAGUGGUGAAAGCCCAUCGCUCAACGGUGGAACGGCCAUUGAUACUGUUAAACUUGAAUUAUUAGGAAGUAACUAGAAUAUGUAGUGUAGCGGUGAAAUGCUUAGAGAUUACAUGGAAUACCAAUUGCGAAGGCAGGUUACUACUAAUGGAUUGACGCUGAUGGACGAAAGCGUGGGUAGCGAACAGGAUUAGAUACCCUGGUAGUCCACGCCGUAAACGAUGGAUACUAGCUGUUGGAAGCAAUUUCAGUGGCUAAGCGAAAGUGAUAAGUAUCCCACCUGGGGAGUACGUUCGCAAGAAUGAAACUCAAAGGAAUUGACGGG